rnacentral:piRNA from 1 species
GAUUAGUUCAUAUUGAUGUUCCUUCUAUUGA